UAGCAAUACACGAGUGGCAGACGGGUGAGUAACGCGUGGGAACGUACCCUUCGGUUCGGAAUAACCCGGGGAAACUCGGGCUAAUACCGGAUACGUCCGUAAGGAGAAAGAUUUAUCGCCGAAGGAUCGGCCCGCGUCGGAUUAGCUAGUUGGUGAGGUAAUGGCUCACCAAGGCGAUGAUCCGUAGCUGGUCUGAGAGGACGAUCAGCCACACUGGGACUGAGACACGGCCCAGACUCCUACGGGAGGCAGCAGUGGGGAAUAUUGGACAAUGGGCGCAAGCCUGAUCCAGCCAUGCCGCGUGAGUGAUGAAGGCCCUAGGGUUGUAAAGCUCUUUCGGCGGGGACGAUAAUGACGGUACCCGCAGAAGAAGCCCCGGCUAA
rnacentral:rRNA from 1 species